rnacentral:rRNA from 1 species
AUUGAACGCUGGCGGCAGGCCUAACACAUGCAAGUCGAGCGGAUGAAGGGAGCUUGCUCCUGGAUUCAGCGGCGGACGGGUGAGUAAUGCCUAGGAAUCUGCCUGGUAGUGGGGGAUAACGUCCGGAAACGGGCGCUAAUACCGCAUACGUCCUGAGGGAGAAAGUGGGGGGUCUUCGGACCUCACGCUAUCAGAUGAGCCUAGGUCGGAUUAGCUAGUUGGUGGGGUAAAGGCCUACCAAGGCGACGAUCCGUAACUGGUCUGAGAGGAUGAUCAGUCACACGGGAACUGAGACACGGUCCAGACUCCUACGGGAGGAAGCAGUGGGGAAUAUUGGACAAUGGGCGAAAGCCUGAUCCAGCCAUGCCGCGUGUGUGAAGAAGGUCUUCGGAUUGUAAAGCACUUUAAGUUGGGAGGAAGGGCAGUAAGUUAAUACCUUGCUGUUUUGACGGUACCAACAGAAUAAGCACCGGCUAACUUCGUG